rnacentral:rRNA from 1 species
AGCGAACGCUGGCGGCAGGCUUAACACAUGCAAGUCGAACGCCCCGCAAGGGGAGUGGCAGACGGGUGAGUAACGCGUGGGAACAUACCCUUUCCUGCGGAAUAGCUCUGGGAAACUGGAAUUAAUACCGCAUACGCCCUACGGGGGAAAGAUUUAUCGGGGAAGGAUUGGCCCGCGUUGGAUUAGCUAGUUGGUGGGGUAAAGGCCUACCAAGGCGACGAUCCAUAGCUGGUCUGAGAGGAUGAUCAGCCACAUUGGGACUGAGACACGGCCCAAACUCCUGCGGGAGGCAGCAGUGGGGAAUAUUGGACAAUGGGCGCAAGCCUGAUCCAGCCAUGCCGCGUGAGUGAUGAAGGCCUUAGGGUUGUAAAGCUCUUUCACCGAUGAAGAUAAUGACGGUAGUCGGAGAAGAGGCCCCGGCUAACUUCGUGCCAGCCGCCGCCGUAAUAC